UGCUCAUUUCGGCAGCAAUACACUAAAAUUGGAACGAUACAGAGCAGAUUACCAUGGCCCCUGCACAAGGAUGACACAGAUUUGUGAAGCAUUCUGUAUUUUU
rnacentral:snRNA from 1 species